CAGAGAUUUAUCAAAAAUAGAAAUUCCAAAAAAAAGGUUGUUGAUGAUAAUGUUGAUGGUUAAGAUCUACAAAAAUAAUGAGAAUGAAAGAUGUAAUUCUCGACCCACUUUAAAAUUAUAACUAUUCUUUUUCCUCUUCCAGUGAACAACUUGACCAUCAGUGAGCCUGGAUGAUUUUUUUCUAUUGCUUGCUGUUUGUUGCACAUUGGACCAUUCCAGAAUGCUAAGCAAACUAAAUGGGGAAUAAAUGUUCAACUCAGUAGUUUUCACUGACACCAUCCAAUCAUAAAAUGUUUCAACUGAAAAAUAAUUGAAAGAUGGAAAUUUAAACUACUCAACCUGACUUGAAUUAAAGGAAGAAGUCAGUAAAGAACAUUUUCCAUCAUCUUCCCCCAAGGAAAAGACAUAAGCCAUCCAUAAAAUAACAAUACUUCACAGAGUUGUAUCAGUUGUCAAGUUCCUUGGAUGAAAAGCAGAAUGGAGAGACAAACUAAGCUGACCUUUCUGCUUGUGUGGAGAGAAAACAAGCAAGGAAAAGCGAUUGACUACUCAGAAUACCUCAUCACCCCCUGUUUAUCUGUAUCUCCUCCCCUGGGCAGAGAGCUGCCUUGGGUUCUUUGUUUGUUUUGGAGUUCCCAAUUGCCUCAUUUAUUUUUCUGCUUUCCUUUGUUCCUUUAUUCUUUAUGCCAUAUAGGUAAAUAGCAUUAUUCUUUCCUAAUUUCUAUCCCUAGCUAUUCUGUCAUUUGCUUUCUGUUUUCCUAUUGAUUUUUUUAAGCCUGUAAUUAACUUUGUUAACAAAUAAUUGGAGUAGAGGUUGAAGGGAACAGAAAAUAGGUGGUGGAGAGGGAUGCGUCUGUGAAUGUUCUUUCAGGAGCUUAAACAAAUAGGUGGGUAAAACUGGUAACAUCUGAUAACACAUGUUUCCUUAGUCGGUGACUUCUUAAAGACAGGAUGAUGUUAAUCACCAAUUAUAGAAAUGCUAGGUAUAAUAAUCCUUUUAAAGAGGUAAAUAGAAUGCUCAGAAGAUCAUUUAAAAUAAAAAAUUGACCACUUUGAGCUGGAUCUGAAAAGGUUACAAGGCUUAACACCAUCCUAAAGCACUCAAUACACACUGCAUAUAUUAAACAUACGGUGAUCCUGGACUGUCUCGCUCUAUAAUAACAACAUGUUGUGAUAUCUGUGCCAAGCACUGAUAGAUGAGCAGCAUGGCAAAGUGGCUAGAGCAAGGGCCUGGUGAUGGGAUCUAAUUCCUGGCUCAGCCACUUGUCUGCUGUGUGACCUUAGGCAAAUCACUUCAUUUCUCUGGGUCCCAGUUCCCUCAUCUAUAAAAUGGGGAUUGAGACUGUGUGCCCCAUGUGGGACAGGGGCUGUGUCCAGCUACUUUGCUUGUAUUCACCCCACUGCUUAGAACAGUACCUGGCACAAAGUAAACACUUAAUAAAUACCAUUAUUAUUAUUAUUAUUAUAAGGGCUGGGGUGGUCUUCCCCUUGACUCUAUUUAUUGCCAUUGUUCUUGUCUGUCUGUCUCCCCCGACUAGACUGUAAGCCCGUCAAAGGGCAGGGACUUUCUCUGUUACCGAUUUGUACAGUCCAAGCGCUUAGUACAGUGCUCUGCACAUAGUAAGCGCUCAAUAAAUACUAUUGAAUGAAUGAAUGGAUACAAAAUAACUGGGGAGCCUCAUGUGAAGAAGAACAGGAAUUGAAUCCCCAUUUUGCAGAUGAGGAAAGUGAGCACCUUGAAGUUAAGUAACUUGCCAAUACGGUAGACAAGUGGUGAAUCACAAUUAGAACCCAAGUCCGCUGACUCCCAGGCUCAGGCUUUUUCCAAUAGGCCUCGAUGCUUAUCUAAUAUUCAAUAUCUAUAUAGUGCUCUAUGUUCAAUAUUUACAUAAUAAUAAUUAUAGUAUGGUAUUUGUUAAGUCUUUACUAGACAUCGACCACUGUUCUAAGCAGUGAAGCAGUGUUGCCUAGUGAUUAGAGCAAGGACCUGGAAAUCAUAAGGACCUGGGUUCUAAUCCCGACUUUGCCAUUUGUCUGCUGUGUGACCUUGUGUAAUCUACUUAACUUCUCUGUGCUUCAGUUACCUCAUCUAUAAAAUGGGAAUUAAGACUAUGACCCCUAUGUGGGAGAGGGACUGUGUCCAACCUGAUUAACUAACUCCAGAGCUUAGUACAGUGCCUGCCACAUAGGAAGCGCUUAACAAAUACUAUUUAAAAAAAUAAUUCAAAAUGACCAGGUUCAACACAGUCCAUGUCCCACGUCAGGCUCACGGUCUUAAUGCCUGUUUUAUAGAUGAGAUAACUGAGGCACAGAGAAGUAAAGUAACUUGUCCACGGUCACACACAGACAAAUGGCACUGUGGGGAGAGAUUCUCUCUCAGGUCCUCUGAGGCC
rnacentral:lncRNA from 1 species